CCUACGGGAGGCAGCAGUGAGGAAUAUUGGACAAUGGGCGCAAGCCUGAUCCAGCCAUGCCGCGUGCAGGAAGACUGCCCUAUGGGUUGUAAACUGCUUUUAUACAGGAAGAAUAAGCUCUACGUGUAGAGCGAUGACGGUACUGUAAGAAUAAGGACCGGCUAACUCCGUGCCAGCAGCCGCGGUA
rnacentral:rRNA from 1 species